rnacentral:rRNA from 1 species
CCCUAUGGGGUGCACCAGGAUUUUUCGACCCGGCAAAACGGCGAUAGACUCAAGGUCAACGAGGGCAUCUUUCCACUUCAUGGCCCAGGAGGUAUCGCCGGCAAUCAGGAUUGUGUCAUCGGCUUUUAUGACUGCACGCCAUGCAGUCUGAAUUUUGUCCCAGUGAUUCUCCCAAGACGGACUGAACCGAUCCAUCGGUUUGGAGGGAGGGUUGCCGGAUAAGUGCAAAGCGGCGGGCGCGAAAAUAGACAGAUAAAACUCCUUGCUGGGGGGAUCGUUACGAAUGUUGUUUACUGUUCCAAGGGAUAGCAAAAAUCCUGCAAUAACAAUGAAACCUGGCAGGGAAAAAGACGGAAAUCCUGAAUAGAUAAUAUAAGCUGAUCGGCCAGUCGGAAUGGGCGGGGGAGC